CCUACGGGAGGCAGCAGUGGGGAAUAUUGGACAAUGGGCGAAAGCCUGAUCCAGCAAUGCCGCGUGAGUGAUGAAGGCCUUAGGGUUGUAAAGCUCUUUUACCAGGGAUGAUAAUGACAGUACCUGGAGAAUAAGCUCCGGCUAACUCCGUGC
rnacentral:rRNA from 1 species